CCUACGGGAGGCAGCAGUGAGGAAUAUUGGUCAAUGGACGCAAGUCUGAACCAGCCAUGCCGCGUGCAGGAAGACGGCUCUAUGAGUUGUAAACUGCUUUUGUACGAGGGUAAACGCAGAUACGCGUAUCUGUCUGAAAGCAUCGUACGAAUAAGGAUCGGCUAACUCCGUGCCAGCAGCCGCGGUAAUACGGAGGAGUCAAGCGUUAUCCGGAUUUAUUGGGUGUAAAGGGUGCGUAGGCGGUCGGAUAAGUUAGAGGUGAAAUCCCGAGGCUCAACUUCGGAAUUGCCUCUGAUACUGGUCGACUAGAGAGUGGGUGCGGUAAGCGGAAUGUAUGGUGUAGCGGUGAAAUGCGUAGAGAUCAUACAGAACACCGGUGGCGAAGGCAGCUUACCAAGCUACUUCUGACGUUGAGGCACGAAAGCGUGGGGAGCAAACAGGAUUAGAUACCCGAGUAGUC
rnacentral:rRNA from 1 species